rnacentral:tRNA from 1 species
GGGACCGUAGUCUAACUUGGCUAGGAUACCGGCUUCGGGUGCCGGAGGUCUGGGUUCAAAUCCCAGCGGUCCCA